GUGCCUAACACAUGCAAGUCGAGCGGUAACAGGUGUAGCAAUACAUGCUGACGAGCGGCAAACGGGUGAGUAAUGCUUCGGCAAUCUGCCCAAUGGUGGGGAAUAACCAGCCGAAAGGUUGGCUAAUACCGCAUGAGCCCUACGGGGGAAAGCAGGGGAUCGUAAGACCUUGCGCCGAUGGAUGAGCCGAAGUCGGAUUAGCUUGUUGGUAGGGUAACGGCCUACCAAAGCGACAAUCCGUAGCUGGUCUGAGAGGACGCACAGCCACACUGGGACUGAGACACGGCCCAG
rnacentral:rRNA from 1 species